rnacentral:ncRNA from 1 species
UGAGAUAGAGGCGCGAAAUUCAUGAGUCAUGUAUCUAAGUGGGCACACGAUGAGGAUACAUAAAAGGGUAUUUCGCCGAAGGAUGGGAUAGGGCGGCUAUACAUCCUGGUUGCGUAUUUAAUAGGUACGUAACUGUCAUCAUAAGUAUGAUGGAGUGCUAAC